ACUCUCGAGAAGAGCCGACCAUGAAGGUCCCAGCGUGUGGGAAGAUUCGCGGGCGUGAGCGGAUGUUGUCGCAGGCGUUUAGUGGUAUCAGCUCAGCGCCGAAGUUGCCGCGCCGAUGGGAACGUCCUGAUAGGAAAGCUCUGAGAAGUGUGGGACUGAAGAAACGUUGAGGACCUUUGCACUGUGCCAGGGGCCUCAAAGGUUAUAAGAGGAUGUGAUUUGUGUUCAUGGGGCUUGAGAACAGUGUAAAACAGUACGUAGGUCCAAGCCUAAAUCCAUAAGCAGUGCCUCGCUUUACGACAUAGGUGGAUGCUAACCAAGAUCGUAUAGUUUUAAAGCUGGAACUGAAUUCAUUAUCUUCCCCAACUUCCACCCCGCUUCUUCGUUCAGUAAAUGCACCAGCAUCAGAGAAUGUGUUUGGACCCUGAGAUCUGCCCAGAGCCUAUGGAGUAGAGGAGAAGAUCACUAAACCAAUGGCUUUCACGCUUCUGUGACUAUGACCAGUGAGCAUGGCAAACCUGCCAGAGUAAUUGAAAUGCAAAGAGAAGAGGUGUUGUCUGGAAGAAUAAGCCAUCUGACUGGAGAGAAGAGCAAAAGAGGAAAUCGUAGAAGGACCCCAUUGUCAUGAUAACAGUUGCUUCAGUUUUCCUCCAGGACUAAUGCACCAGGAUCAGAGAGAUGAGAAUUCUCAGAAACAGUCAGGGGAUCACCCAUCUGAAAGAGGAGACAUGCUACUUACCCCGAUGGAGCAGUGGUUUGUGCAGUGGGCCUCACUCACAUAACUGAAGAUCCCCCAGUAGAGAAAAAGGACCGGGAGAAAAGGCCCUAUCACAAAAGAGGAGGAAUUGACAAGAUUGGUGGAGAAAAGGAGGGGUCCUUUUUAAAGCUUCAUGUCGAUAUAAAUAUGAAAAUGGAUUAAACUCUACUUCCAAUUUCCAAACAUGUGUACUUCAGUGAAUAUUAAAUGGCAGGCCCCUAUCACCAUUCUGACUUAUUUACUCACCAGAGUUUUUAUCAAAAAGGGACUGGAAUUGCCUGUGGAACAUUAAAGUCUCCUGUAAUUGAGUUUAGAGUGGUAAAUCCACUAAACAGGCCACGGCCCCAGAGACACCCCGAAACCCACCUGUCAGCUGGUGUUAGAUCACAGCGCAAACAAGGCAUGGCUGCCAGCUCCUGCUAAACACUGCUGUGGCCCAAAACAAAAAAGAGAGAGAGAGAGAGAGAGAGAGAAGUUACUCCCCAGGGGAUAAGGAAGGGCUGGGGACAAACUGUGGGGGUUGGGAGGGCAGGCGAGAAACUCUCAUCUAACAGCUGCCCUAUGUCAACUGGAAUCAUGAUCUGAAACUCAGCUCAGGGGGGGCACUGGCUAGGGCCUCAUUCGGUAAGGUGUCAUUUCUUUAUCCUAACGUCCAUUAGGUAGGAGCGUAAUGGAGUGGACAAGAAGCUUUUUCAUCGUGGUUGAGCCAUGGAAAUCAGAGCUCAGAGAGUUUCAGUGAGAAUAAAGGUAUAACAGGCUUAAGACUGGUGCAGAAAGGUCCACAUCUGGAAUGGAGGGAAGUGUCCAACUAAGACGUGUUGAACCACACAGGGAUGGGAAUAGGAGCAAUGCAAGCUGGAGAACCAUAAUUCAUCCAAUAAACAUUAAUUGUUUAUUAGUGCCAGUUGCUCAAUGUAUAAAGAAUAAUAAGCCAUAAUCCUUGCCCUGAAGGAAAAUGUAAAAUGUGCUUGGGGAAACACACAGACAAGUCAGCUAUUGCAAUACAGUGCAUCAAGGGCUUUGGGAGCAAAAGUAUGUGCCUAAAAUAAUAAGUUAGGGACAGGCCUACCAAGGGAGAAAGAGAAAUCAAAUGAUCAAGGGCUUUAUCAGCCUGGCUAAUCAGUCUGAAGUUUAUCCUGAAAGCCAUGGGGAACAAUGGAAGGAUUUUAAGCAGAGGAGUGAUGUGGUCAGGUUUGUGUUUUAGAAAGACCAGUUUACCUAUUGUGCAUAGCAUGAAUUAGAAGGGGCAAGGCUGGAAACAGGAAGGCCAAAUGGAAGGCAAUUAAUUACAGGAGUCUUUGAGAGAGGGGGUGAUGGCCCAAACCAAGGAAGUCACAGUGGAGUUGGAGAAGAGGGGACAGAAUGAGAAAUAUUAUAGAAAAGAAUCAGCAGGGCUUGGAAGGCAAUUGAAAGUGGGAAAAAGAAGGGGAGGGGUCCCCGGGUGGCUCAGUCGUUGAGCGUCUGCC